rnacentral:rRNA from 1 species
UUGCCUACGGGACGCAGCAGUGGGGAAUUUUGGACAAUGGGCGCAAGCCUGAUCCAGCUAUUCCGCGUGUGGGAUGAAGGCCCUCGGGUUGUAAACCACUUUUGUAGAGAACGAAAAGACACCUUCGAAUAAAGGGUGUUGCUGACGGUACUCUAAGAAUAAGCACCGGCUAACUACGUGCCAGCAGCCGCGGUAAUACGUAGGAUGCGAGCGUUAUCCGGAUUUAUUGGGUUUAAAGGGUGCGUAGGCGGUCCGUUAAGUCAGCGGUAAAAUUGCGGGGCUCAACCCCGUCGAGCGGUUGAAAC